GUUAUCUGAACCUUCGGGGAACGAUAACGGCGUCGAGCGGCGGACGGGUGAGUAAUGCCUAGGAAAUUGCCCUGAUGUGGGGGAUAACCAUUGGAAACGAUGGCUAAUACCGCAUGAUGCCUACGGGCCAAAGAGGGGGACCUUCGGGCCUCUCGCGUCAGGAUAUGCCUAGGUGGGAUUAGCUAGUUGGUGAGGUAAGGGCUCACCAAGGCGACGAUCCCUAGCUGGUCUGAGAGGAUGAUCAGCCACACUGGAACUGAGACACGGUCCAGACUCCUACGGGAGGCAGCAGUGGGGAAUAUUGCACAAUGGGCGCAAGCCUGAUGCAGCCAUGCCGCGUGUGUGAAGAAGGCCUUCGGGUUGUAAAGCACUUUCAGUCGUGAGGAAGGUGGUGUAGUUAAUAGCUGCAUUANUUGACGUUAGCGACAGAAGAAGCACCGGCUAACUCCGUGCCAGCAGCCGCGGUAAUACGGAGGGUGCGAGCGUUAAUCGGAAUUACUGGGCGUAAAGCGCAUGCAGGUGGUUUGUUAAGUCAGAUGUGAAAGCCCGGGGCUCAACCUCGGAAUAGCAUUUGAAACUGGCAGACUAGAGUACUGUAGAGGGGGGUAGAAUUU
rnacentral:rRNA from 1 species